UACGUAGGGUGCAAGCGUUAAUCGGAAUUACUGGGCGUAAAGCGUGCGCAGGCGGUUUUGUAAGUCUGUCGUGAAAGCCCCGGGCUCAACCUGGGAAUUGCGAUGGAGACUGCAAGGCUUGAAUCUGGCAGAGGGGGGUAGAAUUCCACGUGUAGCAGUGCAAUGCGUAGAGAUGUGGAGGAACACCGAUGGCGAAGGCAGCCCCCUGGGUCAAGAUUGACGCUCAUGCACGAAAGCGUGGGGAGCAAACAGG
rnacentral:rRNA from 1 species